GGGUUGCCUGUAUUUCACGAUAGCUCAGCGAAAGCAAGUCUUCUUAUGGAUACAAAUUGGGGCAGGUUUUCCCCUCUGCUUCCUGCCCACUUAUGGACAUGUUGUUCGCUUGAAAUCCACUCUGUAGGUGUUCCAAGUCAUCUUUGAUUCCAAUGAAGCGUGGUUUGAAGCCAGGCUACACCCCAAGGACUGUCAGCUGUGAAAUGACAGCAACAGAUGGACUUUGCCAGGAUGAAGCAAUCAAAGGACCUCGGGUUGGAGGUUUGAAAACAGGUUUCUGGCUUUUGGAGAUACCAGCUGAAAAGAGGAAUCUUUUGAACUGGCUGUUGGCAGCUAGAACAGAGGACUGAAGGCCCACUUCUCCACUGGACCUGUUUUGGACAGUUUUCAUCUGAAGAUCCUGGCCCAUUUGAUUGGAUUCCACUUAUGAGAUUUGGUUAUUGGGGAAACAUUGUUUUAGCUUAGAUAAGUUAGGUUAAGAUAAAAUUUAUAGAAAAUAUGGUUUAAGAUUAAUUGUAAUAAUUCUCCUUACCCCUUUUCCUUCCCCCCUUUCCUUUAAAAUAAACAUGAUUUUUAUAUUUUUCCUUCUUGUUCA
rnacentral:lncRNA from 1 species